GACAGAGGGUGCAAGCGUUGUUCGGAAUUACUGGGCGUAAAGUGCGUCUAGGCGGAAGCAUAAGUCCUAUGUGAAAGCCCGGGGCUCAACCCCGGAAGUGCAUGGGAAACUGUGUUUCUUGAGUCUCGGAGAGGGUGGUGGAAUUCCCAGUGUAGAGGUGAAAUUCGUAGAUAUUGGGAGGAACACCGGUGGCGAAGGCGACCACCUGGACGAAGACUGACGCUGAAGCGCGAAAGCGUGGGGAGCAAACAGGAUUAGAUACCCGCGUA
rnacentral:rRNA from 1 species